GCGGGGGUUGCCGAGCCGGUCAAAGGCGCUGGAUUUAGGGUCCAGUCUCGAAGGAGUUCAAGGGUUCGAAUCCCUUCCCCCGCA
rnacentral:tRNA from 1 species